rnacentral:rRNA from 1 species
UACGUAGGUGGCAAGCGUUAUCCGGAAUUAUUGGGCGUAAAGCGCGCGCAGGUGGUUUCUUAAGUCUGAUGUGAAAGCCCACGGCUCAACCGUGGAGGGUCAUUGGAAACUGGGAGACUUGAGUGCAGAAGAGGAAAGUGGAAUUCCAUGUGUAGCGGUGAAAUGCGCAGAGAUAUGGAGGAACACCAGUGGCGAAGGCGACUUUCUGGUCUGUAACUGACGCUGAUGUGCGAAAGCGUGGGGAUCAAACAGG